GACGGGGGGGGCAAGUGUUCUUCGGAAUGACUGGGCGUAAAGCGCACGUAGGCGGCUUUGUAAGUUAGAGGUGAAAGCCCAGGGCUUAACCCUGGAAUUGCCUUUAAGACUGCAUCGCUAGAAUUGUGGAGAGGUAAGUGGAAUUCCGAGUGUAGAGGUGAAAUUCGUAGAUAUUCGGAAGAACACCAGUGGCGAAGGCGACUUACUGGACACAUAUUGACGCUGAGGUGCGAAAGCGUGGGGAGCAAACAGG
rnacentral:rRNA from 1 species